UACAGAGGGUGCAAGCGUUAAUCGGAAUUACUGGGCGUAAAGCGCGCGUAGGUGGUUGUGUAAGUUGGAUGUGAAAGCCCCGGGCUUAACCUGGGAACUGCAUUCAAAACUGCACGGCUAGAGUACGGGAGAGGGGGGUAGAAUUCCAGGUGUAGCGGUGAAAUGCGUAGAGAUCUGGAGGAAUACCGAUGGCGAAGGCAGCCCCCCGGCCUGAUACUGACACUGAGGUGCGAAAGCAUGGGGAGCAAACAGG
rnacentral:rRNA from 1 species